GGUUCGAUUAUGGCUCAGAUUGAACGCUGGCAGGAUACUUUACACAUGCAAGUCGAACGGCAGCACGGACUUCGGUCUGGUGGCGAGUGGCGAACAGGUGAGUAAUGUAUCGGAACGUGCCCUGUGCCCGGGGGAUAACUACGCGAAAGCGUAGCUAAUACCGCAUACGCCCUUCGGGGAAAGCGGGGGACCUUCAGGCCUCACUAUUAGAGCGGCCGAUAUCGGAUUGGCCUAGUUGGUGGGAGUAACUGGCUCGCAAGGCGACGAUCCGUAGCUGGUUUGGGGGGACGACCAGCCACACUGGGACUGAGACACGGCCCGAACUCCUACGGGAGGCAGCAGUGGGGAAUUUUGGACAAUGGGAAGCCUGAUCAGCCAUCCCGCGUGUGCGAUGAAGGCCUUCGGGUUGUAAAGCACUUUUGGCAGGAAAAGAAACGGCACGGGAUAAUACCCCGUGCAACUGACGGUACAGAAUAAGCACCGGCUAACUACGUGCCAGCAACCGCGGUAAUACAUGAGGUGCAAGCGUUAAUCGGAUACUGGGCGUAAAGCGUGCGCGGGCGGUUCGGAAAGAAAAGAUGUGAAAUCCCAGAGCUUAACUUUGGAACUGCAUUUUUAACUACCGAGCUAGAGUGUCAGAGGGAGGUGGAAUUCCGCGUGUAGCAGUGAAAUGCGUAGAUAUGCGGAGGAGACACCGAUGGUGAAGCAGCCUCCUGGGAUAACACUGACGCUCAUGCACGAAAGCGUGGGGAGCAAACAGGAUUAGAUACCCUGGUAGUCCACGCCCUAAACGAUGUCAACUAGCUGUUGGGGCCUUCGGGCCUUGGUAGCGCAGCUAACGCGUGAAGUUGACCGCCUGGGAAGUACGGUCGCAAGAUUAAAACUCAAAAUUGACGAGGACCCGCACAAGCGGUGGAUGAUGUGGAUUAAUUCGAUGCAACGCGAAAAACCUUACCUACCCUUGACAUGUCUGGAAUCCCGAAGAGAUUUGGGAGUGCUCGCAAGAGAACCGGAACACAGGUGCUGCAUGGCUGUCGAUGGCUCGUGUCGUGAGAUAUUGGGUUGAUCCCGCAACAGGCGCAACCCUUGUCGUGGAUUGCUACGAAAGGGCACUCUAAUGAGACUGCCGGUGACAAACCGGAGGAAGGUGGGGAUGACGUCAAGUCCUCAUGGCCCUUAUGGGUAGGGCUUCAUCAUACAAUGGUCCGGGACAGAGGGUCGCCAACCCGCGAGGCCAAUCCCAGAAACCCGAUCGUAGUCCGGAUCGCAGUCCACCAACUCGACUGCGUGAAGUCGGAAUCGCUAGUAAUCGCGGAUCAGCAUGUCGCGGUGAAUACGUUCCCGGGUCUUGUACACACCGCCCGUCACACCAUGGGAGUGGGUUUGCAGAAGUAGUCAGCCUAACCGUAAGGAGGCCGAACUGCUGCAGUAGGAUUCAUGACUGGGGUGAAGUCGUAACAAAGGUAG
rnacentral:rRNA from 1 species